AGAAUCCAAUCAGGCUGAAGUCUCCAGAGGGAGAACACAGAGCAGGAGGAGGAGGAGGAGGAGGAGGAGGAGGAGGGAGUGAAGUUAUAGGAGUCCAGAGCCAGACAGCAACAGGAGCUCAACACACACACGGGGCAAAGGUCAGGGUCAGUCACGGCACGGCGACUCUGGAGCCAGUGAUGAAUCAGGAUUCUUCAUCGAGGGGAAGCUUCAGGGAAAUAUGUUCACCAACAGUCUGGAGCUUCGUGAAGGAGCUCCAGCGUCAGCAGCAACAUCACAGCUCGCUCCAGAAGAUCCUGAAGACCUGUCCUACAGAGACAGAGCCUCCUCCUCCUCCUCAUCGUCGCCCCCUCUGGACUCUCUUCCCUGCCUCAUUUACCAAAUAUAGUUCCUGCUUUGUCCAUGUGGUGGCAGGUGGAGGCGGGGGAACGUGUCAGGUCCACUGAUUCUCACGCAAGAAAAAAAAGAAAAGAAAAGAAAAGGAAAAAGAGCAUUCCGGGGCUGAGAAGUGGCUGUGAUCUAAUUUUUUUUCCAUCUCAACGCUGUGUGAAAAGUAAAAGCCCAGGGCUCCUGGCUGCUCGUGCAGCAGCAGCAGCAGCAGCAGCAGCAGCAGCAGCAGCAGCAGCAGCAGCUCACCUCCAGUGCCACAUUAGCACCAUAAUUGUGAUGCCACUUCCCAUUUCACACGUCAUUCCUCAUGUCACACUCUCAUGCCAGUGUGUGCCGCGCGCGGCCAGCUGCUCAAAAGAAGGGAAAAAAAAAGUGCAGCAAAGACGAGGUAACGUUUGUUUUUCCGUGUUUUAACGUCACUGGAACUUUAGCGAUCAAAAAACACCCGAGGUUUACCAUGCACGAACCGAUCUGCUCCAAACUUCAUAUGUGACAUAUUUUAUAAAUUUAAUUGAUGUUUAUUCUGCCUCUAUUUGGUCUUUAUGAACAAAUGUAACAUAAAGGAUUGGAAGACAUAAUUUAAAGAAUAUGGAUGCACGUUAUUAAUCUGUCUGAUAAAAUAAUGAUUAAAUGGAAAAGAAUUGGGGUAAAUCAAUGGUUGAUUAACGUCCCAGAAGAUUGAAACAUUUAAAUAUAUAUAUCUUUGUUUCUCCACAGGUUUCAUAGUUCAUCGUGACUCCUUGACCUCGACAGAACAACUU